GGCUCGGUGGUGUAGUUGGUUAUCACGUCAGUCUAACACGAGUUAGCACACUGAAGGUCCCGAGUUCAAACCUCGGCUGAGUCA